UACGGGGGGAGCAAGCGUUGUUCGGAAUUACUGGGCGUAAAGGGCGUGUAGGCGGCCUUGUAAGUCGGGGGUGAAAUCCACUGGCUCAACCAGUGACGUGCCUUCGAAACUGCAUGGCUUGAGUAUGGCAGAGGGAAGCGGAAUUCCAGGUGUAGCGGUGAAAUGCGUAGAUAUCUGGAAGAACACCGGUGGCGUAGGCGGCUUCCUGGGCCAAUACUGACGCUGAUGCGCGAAAGCCAGGGGAGCAAACG
rnacentral:rRNA from 1 species